CCUUUUCCAAAAUUCCUUUCAUGAUCCUUCUGAUCUUCUUUUUGACCAGGCUUUAUCAGUACAUGAAUGAAAAAAAAAUACCAAGAACUCAGCCACGAGAAGUGUAUACAAGCUACCAACAGUUUUCGAGGCACUGGUUAUAUUUUUCAAAAUACUGCCAUUGAAUACUUUAAUUGUCAUGUAUGAUUACUGAAGAAAUUGAUUUUCUCUACCAUGUUCAAGAAGUAAAUAUGUAAAUUUGUAAAGCAAAUACUCCCCAGCUGCCCAAGAAUAACAGGACAUGAAAUCCUUCACUCCAUCUGGAAAAACAAGUGCUGAUGAGCAUCUGACCUAUUAUCUAUGUAAGUCAACAAAGCACCUACUUCUGAGUUCAGAUGCAAGGGCUCUGGAUCUUCUCCUGAGAGCUGCUGCACACCCCCCAUGUAAGCAAACAGUAUUGCCUCCUUGGUUUGUACACAGCAGAUAUUGGCACUUUAUCCUUGGAGCAAACAGCAAAUUGCAAAUUGUACCCAGCCACUUAGCAUUUCCAGUACAUCUUGGCCUAUGUUUUCACUUAGCAAAACAAUGAGAUAUCCAUCUCCAAAGAAGUUCUCUUGUCUUUCCUGCAGGAGUGACAAUCCUGUGGGUGUUUGAGACUGUGGUUUAGAUGGCAGUGAGUGUACAAGGCAGUGUUCAGUCAGGCCACUGUUACUUUGCACUGGUUCUUGGUGAGGGUAAAGAAGACCUGGUUGGGCCUGUGAUUCUCCUUAACACAAGGCAGUCAGAAACACGCAAGAGCCUGUUUGCUGGACAUAAAGGAUGCAGAGCAUAGCUUGUAAAUGAGUGGGACUUGCCAUGGCUGUUGUAGUUUAAACUCCAACCCACUGACUGAGCUCUGAGAGAGGAAGGGUAGGUUUUAGAUCAGGUUUAGAUAGGCAGAACCCCCAAAAAUAUGUCCUUUAAAAACUGAUAUAAAACCCCAAUAUGUGUCAGUGCCUUGGAACUGAUGUUACUUGUGAUAAUAUAAAUCUCAAGUAACUGUGUUACUGAGACUAGAAUUUGCCCCCAAAAUGGCAAAUCUAGAGAAUAUUAACUGAAGCUGCUGCUACUUAUUUUCUGCUCUGUCUGUCCCUUUCUCUUUUACCCAUAUACACACACAAACUCUCUCUUAUUCUAUCUUGUUUUCCUUCUCUCUUUCUGCUGCUUCCGCCCCUCUCUUCUCUGGGGAGCUGUAAAGGUGUUACAGGCAUCCUCACAACAGUGUUGUCAUUAGGACCUUCUGCAGGAAAUGAUUCUGUAAGAUUGAUGUGGAAAAUCACUGAAGAAAACUUGAAAUGUGGUACUACUCCAUCAUGGCACAGGUCAAGGAAGACUUCUGUAAAGACUUGUAUCAAUAUAUGCAUAUCAGUUUAGGACAAGUAUAACAUAUGCACCAGUGGUGAUUAGUGAGAGUACUUGGUGUCAGAAUUAUUUCUAAGAAAUCUGGCUCCAUCAAUUGCUGAUAUCCUUUACCAUUCUUUUGGGUAUUAAGAACAGAUUCUUUCUGGGCCAGAGGAUCACAUGAGAAGGGGAUGUGUGUCUGGAAUUAAAAAAGACUCCAUCGUUGAGAAAUGUUAGGAAAAGUAUCAUUCAGAUAGGUUGGUUUGUUUGUUUGUGGUUUUUUUUUUAUUAUUAAUUUUUUGAGCUGCUUGAUAAUGCUUGUUUUAAAGCGCAGUUAUCUAUACUAGUUAGCAUGCUCAUACUUUCACGUGUGAGUAUUCUUUGUAUGGACAGGGAGGAGGACAAAAGAAAAUAAAAAACAGUAAACAAUUCUCUUCCUAUAAAAACAAUCACAUUUUGCAUUUUCUUUAUUCUCCAGUCCAAAGGACACUGUUGGAUCCUCUGUUUGCAGUUUAAGAGGAGGUCACCAUCCCAGCUGAAUCCUGUUUUUCCACAACAUCCUCAGCCAACUUGGUUGACUAAGCUAAGAUCUGCUUAUGUGAGCAUCCGAGAAACAACGAUCGGGGAAGCUAAUAAGAAGCCAUACGAUGAAUAACUCCAUGACAAAGGAAAUCCCUGUAGCUCAGACUUACCUGCCGGCUUGCAUCCAACGCUCCCGACUGCAAGGCCCAGGCUGACACGGUGUUAAAGGCUUUCACAACCCUGGCGCCUGGCAGCAGCUGAGCAAGGUAAACUCAAACCAGACAACCUAAGACCUCCAAGAGGAGACCCUGAGAGACCCCUCUCUUGAACUGGCCAUCAAUCUGGUACUUAGAGCAGCAAUUUAAUUAGCAGGAGCCCUGAUGGUAAGUCUUACACUGCAUCACAGGUAACUGUCCUUAUUAGAGCUGUGGGAAUAACAGAUCUUCUAAUUUGCAGGAAAGAAAUGUGUGAAAUGAUUAGCUAAACACAAAACAACUGCUUUGCUUCUGCUGUUUAUGAACCUUUUGCAUACAUUAUUCUGUGAAGCACCAUUCAGAAUGCUGAAAUUUAAACAUACUGCCAUUUAAAAACACUGAGAUUAUGUUCUUCACUUUCUUUUGUAAUUUUCUCUAGUCAGAACCGUUUUUGCUUUUUAAAAAUCUGGCAUGAUUUUAAACUGUUUGACCCAAACCUUGCAUAUGUUUGGUGAAUAAAAAAUCAAGCCUGAACUUUCCCCUACCCUGCCAUGACCUAGAGAUAAGGGCCAUAAGUCAAGGAUUCAAACAUCCAUGGCCUAUGCUGUAGGUUGUAAGCCUUGCUAGUGAGAUGGACAUAUAAAUGCUUACUCUGAGAAUUGUAUAUGAAGAUUUUGGCUUGGACUACCUCUGUGUGUAGCUAUGUAGCCCUCAGUUGGCAUCAGCGCCUGCUCAGCACCAUUCUUGCAGUGAGCUGUGGGAAUCCUGUAAUUUAGAGAGCUGCCAACACAGUUGUUUUUGAUCAUUAGGGGAAGGUGUGGAUUCAGGCAGAAAAGGGCCUGAGUGUCUGCAUGCUGGAGGAUCUGUGUGGCUUGAACAGGUCCUGUUGGAGGCUUUGCAGCGCAGCAAGGUGUUCACCCCGGCUCUGCUGAGCUGCAGUCCCAGCUGUGCAUGUACAUCAUCAAGUAGCACACUGAAAAUGAAAAUAAAUCCUCAUAGAUUCCCAUCUGAAUGUGUCUUGAAUAUCUGGGGACUCUGGCACAUGCAUAAAAUUGCAAGUCCUUCGACAUAUUUAAAAAUCAUUCUCUGAGGACUUUAUUAGUCCCAUGAGGCUCUAAUGUGACUAACACUAUGAAUUUCCUUUUUAGGGAUGGUCUGUAUUUCAAAAAAUAGAGAAGAGUUGCAUAUGUAAUAUUAAUAAAUGGUCCAACUCAAUACCUAAUAAGGCUCAACUUUCCUUUCUUAAUUUUUCUUUUUAACAAAGUAGGCUCCUAUCUAAAAUCAAAAGUAAAACUUAUUUGUAACACACAUCCUACUUUUCCUUUCUUUCAACAUGUCUUUGUACCAGCUGGCUGUUAUUGAACUAAAAGAAGGUUGUGGGCUUGGCAGUGAACUUCUGGAGGUUAACUCAGGCAGUAGGUUGCAAGCAUAUAGAGAGUGCAUAGAAAAAUUCUGGAUUUGCUGUGUGUAUUUGAAGAAAAUGCAGCAUCUAAUGGCAACUGUGUGGUUGUAAAGUCAAAAGAAUGGACUCCCAGAUUCAUGACAGCAAUAGCUGCAAUGCAAAAGGAUAGUAAUUUUCUAUAGAACGUGUUUUAUUGUCUCAUGUCAGUGUGAAAGAUGGGAAGCAGAAGUAUAUCACAAGGGACACAAGGCUUGUUUAGUAACUUGAAGUUCAGCCCAAAGGCUGGCACUGGGCUAUCAAUCAGCAGCUGGUGGCAGUGGGGCUCUGCUCCAUGCCCAUGGAUUAUGCUGGGCUCUCUCAAAGCACCAGAGGAAAGCAGAAAUACCAGCAAAGAAACAUGCAGUAACCAUUGUCUGUUCUUUUACAUAAGUAGCCAAAGAUUAACUGAGAAAAAGCCAUAGAGCUUUGUAUCCACACAUAAUGUUUUUGCUUAUAUCCAUUCCCUUAACAUGAGAGCACUAGUGAUGCCUUUUGUUAUUUAAAAGGUAAUCCACGUAAGCUUCUCCUCUGCAUUGUUGCUGUAUUCUUGUACACUGAAUUAUCCAGUUUUAAGGAAAAUGGUGGCAAUCUCUGAGUUUGUUUGGUCAGUAAUAAUAAAAGGAGGUGCUGAAAGAAAAAAAGAACCUAAUUGCAACACUGUCAUUUUUACCCAUUGCAUAAACACUUAGGGGAGGUGAAUGAAGAUACAAUGGUUAGUUAAGCAGUUAUAGGCAAAUGCUUUGAUUAUGUAGGGAAUUGAAUUAAGACAGGCACAUUGCUUUGCACUUGGGCAAAAGGAGGGAUCCUAGCAGAAGCAACACCACAAAUAAAGUACAGUGCCAAAAUCAGAAAGGCAGAGAUGGGAUCAAGACAUAGACUGGGAUAGAUAAUGGAAAGAUCAGAAAGAUGUGACAUGAAAUGCAGAUGGAAGAUCAGUGGAAUGAUUCAAAAGUUAGAAAGACAAGAUGAAAGGAGCAGGAAAGAGUAAUUUUACUAUUUACAUUUAAAACAGAAGCAAAACAAGUGGCUCUGGUAGUGAUCUCAAGGGAUUGUCUAGUCCACCUCCCCUCCUAAGGCAGAAUGAACUGUGUUAAAAUCAAGUCUGACAGAUGCUUGUCUAGCCUGUUUGUAAAGCCUUCCUGCAUUGUGGAUGCCGAAGUCUUCCUGGCUUACUGCUUUCUCAGCCCUUCUAUUAGGCAGAUUUUCCUAUUAGCAAUCUGUAUUGCCUCCCCCACAGUAGACACAGCUGUCAAUUUAUCCCCCUUCUCUUUGCAGCAGCCUUUGUUGGACAUGAAAGCUGUUACCAUUUCACCCUUUUCUUCUCUAGAUAAAACAGUCCCAAAUCUUUCCCUGCAACUUGUGCUUCUGAGAGUGGCGAUCUUUCUCAUGGCUUUCUUCUGAUCUUUCUAGGCUAAACUGCUCCAAUUGUUAACUAAAAGUAUGUUGCUGAAACUGAAUGCAGUACUCUUGCAGACAUCUUACCAGAUACUAGAAGGAUUGCUUCAUUUGUGUCACAAAUCACACGUAAUCCUGCUGUCACAUUUGUCUUAUUCACAACACAGCUGAUUCAUAGUCAGCCUGUGAUGCAUUAAGAUGAUGAGUACUUUAACAAGUAGUGUGUGUGGCAACAGGAACCAUGAUGUGGAGUGCAACAGCUGAUGCUGAGCUCAUGAUUUUCACACUAUCCAUGUGUCAGAGAUUGCCACCUUGGACUAAUUCUACUUAGCUAGCUAGCAGCUGCAGUGCAUUUGAGUCCACCUAAAACAUGUCUUCUGGCUGAGAUUUUGUGGAAAGGAAUCUAGUUUCAUAUGUUCCAAGAGCUCUCUGUGUAUAAAGCAAAGCUAGAAAAGUGACGGUCUGCUUCUACAUCUCAUCAGAACAGAAAUACUAAUGCAAUGGCAUCCUGUUACACCCAAUCCUUUAAUUGGACUGCUCCCACGCCACUUAUUCCAUCCUUGAUUUCUGCAGUGUUUUCCAACUCAGAGCUGCAUUGUGCAGUCCCUGUUGCAUAGCACCAUAUUUUUUCAAACUGUAGCUUCGAUUUGCCAAGAUCAUUUUGAUUUCCAAGCCUGUCCUCUAACGUGCUUGCAGCCCUUUUCAACUUUGUCAGAUUGUCAGCUUUCAUGAGUAUAGUGUCUAUUCCAGCAUCUAUUCCAGCCUUUUAAUUAAAUUCUGGAACAGGACUUUUGCCACGAGAGACUCCCUGUAUAUCUGCAGUAAAUGCAGUCUUCUACUUUGAUAAUAUUUAGUGGAGAGACUGAAAAAUGUUUCUUUUGUUAUUUCCACAAAACUUUACCUUAUGUAAGGUUAAUCUGAACUGCAUUUUCCUAGUUUGCUUUUGAAUUUUUUUCCUGACAUGUAUCAUACUAAAAACUUUGCUCAUGCCAAGUUGUAUUCCCAGGACCUAUUGUCCUUUUAUGAGAGGAAACAAGGUUUAUUUGAAAUGAUUUACUCUUGAUUAAUCCUUAUGCCUAUAACCCGUUUCUUUCUUAUGUUCUUUUUGCUUCCUCUACUUGUUUGAGAAUUGUAUUUAAAUUGAUUGGGCCGUAAUUCCGCACCUCCUCUUUCUUGGUACAUUUAAAGAUAGCUGUUAUUCUUGCCUUUUCAGUCUUUUAAAACUUUACUUCUUCCACACAAUUCUUAAAGAUAGUUAUUUACAACUGUGGAGAUGCUUCAGUUUUCUCUUGAAUAGUGUGAGGUGAAUUCCAUCAGCCUUGUUGAUCUCAGGUCAUUUAACUCACCUAAGCAAGGCCUAAUCUCUUUCUUAUGUCAUUUAGCAACAAUUUCCAGCUCUUUGCUACUGAUAUAAACCCUUUUAUCAUGGUUGACCCUUCUAGUGAACAAAGAGCAAAAUAGACAUUACAAAGUUGGCUUUCUUGGAGUUGUUAGUCAAUAGCUUUCUCUCAGUUGAGUGGUGGAUCAAUUCUCUCCUUGAUUUUUCUUCCACAGUUCAUGUUUUUAUAGGAAACUUCUUGUUAUUCUGUAUGUACCUUACUAAUUAUGUUCCUUUUUGUGCUGUGUCUUUUCAAAUCUUACCAAUAUAUCAGCACAAUUCUGUGCUUGUCCAUAGAUUUUGGUUUCUGUAUGCUAUUAGAUUUUGAAGUUUUGGAAGAACUGACAGCUCCAGCUGCCUGGCUUACUUCAACCCUUGCUCUGCGUUGCAAUCUUUAUGUCUCUACUUUUAACAGUCUCUAUAAGCAGCUGCCAAAUCUCCUGACCUUAUUUUCUCAUCAAAUUAUACUUCUCAUGGAAUAUCACCUUCCCACCUUCAGAGUCUAGUAUACUCUGCUUAUUAUUCUGCUAGGUGGACAAAUCCAUUUUUGAGCACUUGAUGUUGCCUGGUGGCCUGUGCUGGCUCCCAGCUGUGACAGACCCUCUAUAUUUUUCCCUCUAUCAUUUUCCAAAAUCUUCUACUGGGAUUAUAUUCUUUUAUCUUUUGACUCAGGGCAAAAAUUUAGAAGACAAAGCAGGAUAUAAGGACUGUGAGAAGAGAAGUGGCCGAAGUAUUGCCAGGAAUUUGAUCCGCUGCCACGUAAAAGAAAGGUUUAUAAGUAGGUUAUGGUAUUGCCUACUGUAGGAACUAGUCCAAAGAUUUACAAUGCUGAUCUGUUUAUCUUUUUUUUUUCCCCUCCCUUUUUAAACUCAUUGUCAGAAUCAUAAUCCCAAAGGUGGACAUAAGGAUUAAAAGCAGAACAAAUAUUAUGGGAGCAUAACUUUAAAAAAUGAAAUUUCAAAGGCCUUCUUUCUAAGUAAACAAAAUAUUUUUACUGCUAUUUCCUUGAAAAUAACAGCAAGGAUUCUGUUAAACUAUGCAAAUAAUAAACAGUGAGAAUGGCCCCUCUCUCGGGUAGCUUGCCAUUGCUCUAGUACAGCAUUCUGGAGGCAAAUAAAGGUUCUGCCAUAAUUCAUCUUGCUCAUUAUAUAGAAUUCUUGGGGUAGAUUCAGCUGUGUGAAUUCAUACAUAGUUAUACAGAAGCCAUGACAUGUAGACUGCAUAUUCCAGCAAUUCUGUGUAGCAGAAUACGUGUAUGAAGUCUGUUUUCUGGGUUCACCUUUCUAGAUAAACCUUGUUUCUCCAGAUUUCAAAAGGGUUAUUUUUCUAUAAUGAUGGAGACACACUUGGAUUGACUUUGGAGCUUAUUAAAUUUAGUCCAUUGCACAGAUGAAUUCUAAUAGUGUCGUGCUGCAUGAAGAAACUAGUUCUUCCCUCAGGUUUGCUUACCUUUGGUGUUUAACUCUGCUGGUACGACAGUGAAACAGGGACAUCUGGAAUAAGCAGUUUGGAUUCAGACUAUACCUUCAUUUUAAACUGCUGACAUGACUUCUUACAUCUUACUGUAACUCUGCUGGUCUUUUAACACAAAAGAUUUAGCUGUUUCUGAUUAUUUUUUUUGAUCUUCUGUAUCUCUUGUCACUACAGCAAGGAUCAGCUGAACUUUCUCACCCACCAUCCACAUAUAUUAGUCCUCAAGUCUCUGCUGGAGGUUUCUUCCAGUCAAAGCUCUGUAUCUCUCUGAUCAGGAAAGCAUGCAGUUCCUCGCAUGGAUUCAAGAACUUGCUUACGUAUUUUGAAACACACAGGCAGGGCACAUGGCAACUCAUUUCAGUAAGAGGUUUACAGCAUGUCUUUUACAAAGCACUUUUAAAACAGAUUCUCACCACCACUACAGACAGAAAGCCCUGCAUGCUGUUGGACUUAACAUGAUUACUCAUCCUGAACUUGCUGGGCAACUGUGAGCUGAUCUUGAGUUUGCAUUUAAGGCUGAACUGGUGAAAAUAAACUCUUGCCCCAAGUCCUGUAGACCUUCCUCAUACCUCUUUGAACAGACCAAGCAGGUUUAAUCAGGUUUGCUUCCCUGAUGCCUCUGUGCACACCUAAUCCCUCCCUACCAGAUAAACAUACAUCCUUUUCAAUCAUGGCUGGGCUGCACUGCUGGUGACUAUGGUGCUUUGACACCAGCCUAUAGACACGUACAUAAGCUGGUGGCAAUGAAGAACAGUGCCUAUGAUUGAGAGUGACAAAGGCAGUGGAAACAGCCAGGGUCUGUAUUUAUGUAUGUAUGUAUGUAUGUAUGUAUUUAUUCAUUUAUAUCAACCCUCUUUUUUUCAUUACUUCCUUUAAGUUCUAUGUACCUGUGGAUGGGCAUGGUGAACUUGAACCAAAGGAGUAAAUGCGUACAUAUUUUUGUUUGGAUUUAUAGUUUUUGCACUGAUGAUUUUUAGUUUCCCAUGCUGUUGAGUUCUCCAAAGUUAAACGGUUUCUUUCAGGAAUAGAGUUAAUUGUCAUUAUUGUUUUAAAUAUUUUUUGCAUGUACUGGCAAGUAGAAGUCAUCCACAACUGCUGGUUUUUUUUUUCUAAAUGAAACUUCUGCUUUGUCUUGUAAUCUAUGAUCAAAAGGUGUAUAUUAGACAAAAAUACCCUAAUACACUAAAAUUACAUAUAGUAAUUCAUUAAAAUAUAUAUUCUUAUAUUUUACAAUAGAAAAAGAGAGAGACUGAUGCUUAGUUUCUUACAUAUGUAAUACUGCAGCUUUGGAAUACUUUAUGAAGUAUUUCACACAUGCAUAAUAUACAGUAAUUCUGGUGUAGCUUGGAAAACAGGUGAAAUGCAAUUUAAAAUUUCUCCUUGGAAAGACAUGUGCACUACUUGGAGGCAAUCUCAUAUACUUAAAAUUUCAUUUUACUAUUCCCACAGAAAGAGAAAGAACACACUCUAUAACAAAUACUGUUUCUCAUAAGUUGACAGCUGCGGAACCAAAUCUGCUCUAAAUUAUAAAUUGCAUUUUCUGUUUCUUGAUACACCUAAAACUGAAAGGCACAUGGCUAAACUACUCUCCCAUGAUUAAUCCAGUACUUAAACACGUAAAGAAAACAGCAGAAUAGCUCCAAACAAAUGUAUUACAACAAAUUAUUCAUGAAUUUUCUUUCAAGCAAAUGAAUAUCUGCUGCUCUUCUCAGUAGAAAAUCCUGGGCUCCAAGUUUUGACAAAGCUGAUAAAAAAUAAUUGUUUGAGACAAUAAAUCCUCCUACGGAGGACAUUGCAUUUACCACAUCUUCACUUUUUAUCGGGAGUACACUAAAGCUGCCUGGAGGCUCUUCAAACAGAUGAAGUAUCGUCCUAAAUAGAUGUGCUUAAUGUUGUCUAAAUCAUAGCAAAGUACUGAGAGGGCUGGAAAUCUCACCACCUCCAGCUGCUCCCAUAAACCAGCUAUAACUUGAGUAAUUUCCUCAGUCUCUUCAGGGUUGUUGUACUGUUCUGAGGUGUGUAGGUACUAAGCUUUAAUCCAGCCUAGUCAACUGCAAGAGGAAUGAAAAUAUUUCUUAAAACAGCUCAAGGUGAGCAAGUGUGAGAAGGAGAGACAGACCUGUCUACAGUGCAGGGUGCACUGGGUUUACCCCAAUUGGUCCAAAAGAUGUGCUGAGACCUUGAAAGACAUGCUUGCAGAUACACCAUGCAUGGAGAAGCACCCUUUGCUCUCCUGCCGAGUCCUCCCCUCCCCGUGAAGCUAUUCUUUCGAGCAUCUGCCAUUUAGAGACAUUAACAAAUAGCUCUAUCUCAGAGAGAAAUAACACUAGAAAUAAUGAAGCCUGACCUCCUAGGGGUUUGUGUUUCUUGGCUGAUUACAAACGCUGUUUGAGACUGUUUCCAAUCACAGGAGAUGACUCCUAGAACACUUCUUCUGGUGGAUUUUAGGUAUUUCAAAUGUAUAUAGUCACAGUCUUUAAUUUUUCAGAACUUUUCUAUGGGGUCUUCAGCUGCCCUUUUUCAUGCAACAUAUGGAAGGGAGAGCACUCUGCCCUCCUGGUACAUUUAAAAUCAUCACUAAAAAAGUUAUUGAGAAACACACAAACAUGAGACACUCACAUACCCCUGCAUGAGCAGAGAAAUCUCACUUCCUGCAGAAAUGAAGCUAAAAUAAUGGACACCUUAAAAAAUUUGUGAUGUACGUAAACCCAAAUGCAUGUCUGUAUCACCAAAAGAGAAGGAAGCGAGUGAGAAAUGGCUUUCAACUGUGACCCUCUGUUGUUGUGGUCAAAAGUCAUGGAGAACAAGUCAGGAGAUGUUUUGCAGGAAACUUUUACUGACAGACCAUCCAAAAACUAAAAAUGCAAGAGUUCAUGCCACAUAUUUAUUAUGAGCUCUAGGAGUAUAUGACAAGCCUGACUCUCUUCCUGUUUACACUAAUGAAUUGUUGGUUUUCAGUUAGCUCAUGUUUGGAUGGAGUUGCACAAGUGAGAAAAAAAAAUGAAGCCCAGUUGCUUCAUAACACCUGUGAUAAAAACAGAGGCAAGGUGGCUGCUGUGGUGCAGUGACAGUGUUCUUGGCUGUCCUAUGCCCUUAGAAAUCUGAGGAGUGAGAGUAUGAUGAAAGAUUUAAGGAAAUGGUGCAUGAAUAUGAAGUUUUCAUGCCAAAACAAAUUAAUGUGUGUUCACAACAUGUCUUGAAUGGGGCCAAUCAGAUUUUACAGAAAGUUCAUUAACCUGUGUUCUUGCUUACACUAGCUUAUAUACUAAAAUGCAUUUAAAGACAUACGAUUGUACGACAAUCCAAGACAGUAGAUAACUUUGUCAGCUCCCUUACUCACUUAAUGUGAAGUAUAUUAAAUGUGUUUACUUGCUCCUUUUGGUUUCCUUUAUGUGGGCUUGAACAUUUUCCUCUCCCACUUGAGUAAAGGCAAGUGACAUCUGCAAAGACAUGCCUGCCUUCAGGGCAAAAUGAAUACUGAUAUUUUCAGAUGAAAUUAUGUUCCUCACCAAAAAAAAAAAAAACCCAAGAAAAAAAAACCACAAGAGAAAAAACCAGUUUUAAGUGCUGUUGCAUUUUUCAACAAGGUAAAAUUCUUAUCAGGCAAUCUUUUACAAACUAAUUUUUAACAAGAUGGGAGAAGUUCUCCUUACUGAGCCAAUGAUUUCAAGAUGCUUCAAGCAAUAACCUUAACCUAUAGGCUUUGAAAAUUAAUUGCUGAGAAGCCUGAAAUUAGAAACAUGUUUUUAAAAUAGAAAACCCCCCAAAAUAAAACAGUAAUGGCAUUAGUAAAAAAAUUACAGAGCUGUUCAGGGCAGCAUGAAAGAUCUACUUUGGUUUUUUUAUUCUAAUCAAAGCUCCCUGUGAAUUCAGCCCGGGUUUUGCAGAUUCCUGAGCUGCUGCUGCUGAUUUCCUCACCUGGUAAGCAGGGAUGGAUGUGCACAGCAGUGGGACAUUACCUUGGCUCCCAGCCAAGAUGGUGGUGAUAUAAAUGACACCUGUCUGCCAGGGCACUGCCUGUGAGGCACUGCUCUUGGGGCACAGUUGCCACCGAAUUGCUUGCAGUACAGCCCAGGGCAGCCAGUGUUAUCCUGUGCCAUGGCUCACUGCACAGGGGCACAGGAAACCUUACACAAGAUCUCUUACAGAUCCCUGCUACCUGCAUGCUCUUAUGCAGAGGGUGCCGUCUUCGGAGGGAAAUCACCCUAGUUUUUGUCUUCUGCUUUCUCCUGGGUCUCAGUCACUGCCUCUCUCUUGUUCCUACCUCUGUGAAAUACAUGAGAUCAAGGCAGAAGUCACCCUCUUGGUUCUGCACAUUGAGACCAUACAAUAAGCAAGAAAGGAGUGAAGUAAAACGUGGGUAUUUGGGACAUGAUGUAGAGCAGAGGCAAAUGAAAACUAAACUUAGCUGAAGAGCAAAGAAGAGGGUGCCAGGAGGUACAAAACACAGUGUCAUGCUGCUUUUGUAAUUGCCUAAUUGGACAAAAUAAUUCCCUCCUGCUGGGUGACCCUCUCUUGCAUUUCUAGCAAGGAAAUGCAAUACAAGUGAGGAACUGAGUUUUCUGAAUAAACCCAUUGUCUUUUAUUUGAUUACCAUUUUAUGCUAUUACUAUUAUUGCAUAAUUAUCCACUUGUUCUGAGUGCUCGUGUUCUUUUUACACAUUUCCUGCUCUCACAGUCAUCAUAGCAUGGGACCACCCAGAGCAAUCCUUUGUCAAACAUUCCUGUGCUCUAAUGAUGCCAGAAAGUGUUUUGCUCUUUGGCAAUCAACCUCUCCACUACAUUUCUUAGUUCUUAAGGCUUGUUUAUUUAGAUGCCUCCAGAAAAUUGCUCACAUGGUGCUAACACUAAAGGAUUGGUGACAGGCAGCAGUAAAACACUUUGAUCCCAAUCACCAGGUGCUCAGGUGUAACUCCUCAGGUGUAACUUCUCUGAAUUGGGUGGUUGAGCCAUUCCAGUAUUGAUCAAGUAGUUUGUAGGAGAUUGUUAUAAUUAAACACCUUUGAACUGCCAAAUUAUAUGAGGCUCUGGUGCAGUUUGAGUUGUAGGAUUCAAAUGAAAUUUAGUAAUGUUCUUAUUUUUUAGGGAUAUCAUGCCAUUUAUGAGAAUGUUUUUUCUGCACAUUCUGAUUGGUCCUGAUGAGGCUGUUCCACUUGAGAAAAGCACAUGGAGGGAAAUCAUCCAGAACUAAGAACCUGUCCUCACUCCUGAUUUAAUCUUAACUUCAUGUUUUCCUAAGCAAGUCAUGGGAACUGCAUCUCCCAGUGCAAGGUUAGACCUAGCCUUUCUCCUGACCCAUGGUGAUCUGCGUCGCUCUGCCAGCGCAACACGUGAGACAGCUCAGCCAAGCAUGAGAAGAGCAGUUCCAAGCUGGGUGGCCUGAACCUGUGUCUCAGUAUACUGCCACCACCAAAGUUAGAGCAUUUCUCCUGUAACCCCACCAAAAGUCACCUCAGCAAUUUAGUAAAGUUAAAAAACCCAAAAAGUCACCGUUGCAAUUGUGUGUCCAGGGCUGUAUUCAGUAGUCACUAUGAAAUUGGGAAGCAGCUUUGUCAGUCCUCUAAUUAAAGUCUUUGCCAGCAACUGUUCCUACUCCUCCUCUCUCCAAGAAGCACCAAUAUAACCAGUGCUUACCUGACCUGCCACCCACUGCCCACCACAUACUGAGCACCCUGCCCAAACUGCUGCAGCAGGUAGGAGAGCUGUCAGCAGCAGCCCGGGAAGAGCUCACAAGGACGUUCGAGAGUGCACCCCUUUGUCACAGCCCUGCCUACAACACCAAUUGUGGAGUGUGACUUGCAGCUUCAAUAUAUCCUUGAAAUUAUAAACUGGAUUUCUAUAAAAUUUGACAAUGGAACCAAGUCCAGAGAGAUAUUUGUUUAUCACUCUUAAUACAACAAUGGUUACUUAGGCUGAGAUGCUUCAGAAAAAAAUUCAUAUCAUAAAUGCAAGAUUAAAUUUAUCCUGGAAACAUGAGAGUGGUGAACUCGAAAGCACUACUGGGGAAGAUCUUCCAAAGCAUAUAUGCCAAUAAUUUCAAGAUUCAAAUGGGUAAGGAAAAGGUCAGGGACCUCUUGUACAUGAGUCUCAGCUUAGCAACUGUGUUUAGAAGGAGAAUAAGGUAUAUCCUAUGUAAUGUGGCCAUGGUGAUCAUAGAAUCAUAGAAUCAACUGGAUUGGAAAAGACCACCGAAAUCAUCAAGUCCAACUCUUGAUCCAACACUGCUGUGGUUACCAGACCAUGGCACUAAGUGCCACAUCUAGUCUCAUCUUAAAAACCUCCAGGGAUGGUGAAUCCACCACCUCCCUGGGCAACCCAUUCCAACGUCUAAUUACUCUCUCUGUAAAACAUUUCUUCCUAAUAUCCAACCUAAACUUCCCCUGGCACAGCUUAAGACCAUGCCCUCUUGUCCUAUUGCUGGUUGCCUGGGAGAAGAGACCAACCCCCACCUGGUUACAACCUCCUUUCAGGGAGUUGUAGAGAGUGAUGAGGUCUCCCCUGAGCCUCCUCCUCUCCAGGCUGAACAAUCCCAGUUCUCUCAGCUGCUUCUCAUAGGACUUGUGUUCUAGUCCCUUCACCAGCCUUGUUGCUCUUCUCUGGACCUGUUCCAGCACCUCAAUAUCUUUCCUGAACUGAGGGGCCCAGAACUGGACACAGUACUCGAGGUGUGGCCUCACCAGCGCUGAGUACAGGGGAAGAAUCACUUCCCUGGACCUGUUGGCCACACUGUUCCUGAUACAGGCCAGGAUGCCAUUGUCCUUGGCCACCUGGGCACACUGCUGGCUCAUGUUCAGCUUCCUGUCAGUCCAAACUCCCAGGUCCCUUUCUGCCUGGCUGCUCUCCAGCCACUCUGUGCCCGGCCUGUAACGCUGUGGGGGGUUGUUGUGGUCAAAGUGCGGGACCCGGUACUUGGCCUUGUGAUGGUUGUACCUAGUCAAAGUGUUUACAGAAAAACAGAAAAAACCCUGGAUCAUGAGAGGAUGUGAUUAUUAAUGCUUUCUGAGUGUUUGUGAUCCAAACCAUUAUUCUUCUUUUUCUGAGGCAGUCUUACUAUCUACUACUAUUGACCCCUGAGAAGAAGACUCCAGAAAACUGUAGUGUGUGUCAAGGUUUUCUCCUGCUCAGUCCAAAAAGCAUGGAAAAAGGAAUUAAAAUACCAUGUAGAUGUAUAGAGACAGGUGAAUUGCACCCAUGUAGAUGUCAUGUGGGGUUCUGGGAGCUGCUGGUGCUUCACAGGCCGUGCGAUGCUGUGGCAGAAACACCAGCUCCAGCACAGAAUGAACCCUGGGCCCAGGAACAUAGGGCUGCUUCUGGCAGGGUUGCACAGGUGAUGGGCUGGAGGGUCCUGCUGGCCCUGGAGGACAAAGGUUAGGGCUGCUGGUCUGCACACAUAGGUGGUUCCAGACCUCUCUCCUCCAGGCCCUGGAGACACUCUCUCUGGAGCAGGCAGUCUGAUGUGGGGAGUACCAAUGUGCUCUUUCCUCCAUCAGCACCAAGGAUGUGACCACCCUCUACUGAUCCCUGCAGUAAUCUGCCUUUGGGAGACUUUUCUGGGCUGCUGGUCUUCUCCCAGGACCUUGUCCAGACCUGGGAUGGGGAAGCAACCAGGACCCCUGAAGCCACAAAGAGGCAGGAGCUCCUUGGCACCCCUCCUGCAGAGCCUCCAGCUGCACGUGCAGGUGGCAGCUCCCUGCAGUCCCUCCUCUGACUCACCCAGUACUUCUCACAGCUUCUGAAUCGUCUCCGUCUCUCAGCUCUCAGUUUUUGCCUCACCCAUAAAUCAGAAGACCCGUAAAUCACAAGACCUGCUUGCUGAUGUUCUCUUUACUCUGGCCACUCUGUCCAUCACUGCCACCAGAAAGGCAGAGCACAAGAGGGGGGAUGCUGAAACCACUGGGCUUGCCUACCACUCCUAGAUGGCCAACAACCCUGACAACCCCCAGCAGCCUGCUGUGAGGGGUAUGCUCUUCUUUGUGUCCAUCUUUGGGGUCCUUGUCAUACAUUUUUGAGCUCUCAUCUCUCACACUUCACCUUCUUUUUUUGUUUAUUUCAUUUGUUCUCAUAUCAUACUUGCCUGUGCUCCUUUUUUUAGGGAAAAAAAAAAGAGCAAUGAUGUUACAAAGCUGCAUGUUGUUUGUAGGAGGUUGUUUCCCCAGGCUCGUAGUUACUGUGGAAGAAGAGAUGACAACCUUCUAAAAAAACCCAGAAGGGAAAGAGAAGAAGAGGCACAAAGCCUGUCACUUUGUGCUGCAAAAUCUCCAUCAGACAGCAAACUCACACUGAAACCGGGGAGACCCAGGACACACAGCUAGGCUAUCUGCCCAUGAGAGAAGCAGUCCUCGUGCCUUAGGGGAGGCAGCACACCCACAGGGACACCACAGGACACCUCAAAGGCUGAUGGAAAUUUACUGAUAAAUACAGCCUCGAGGCUACUGAUAAAUAUCUGUACCCCUCAGCUGUAUCAAUUUUUGAAAUAUACUUAUUAUUAUGUUUUCCUUAGCAGGGAAGGUAUAGUCAGGGGAACGUACGUAGAAGUUUUAGCAUCUGAAACAAAAGUUCUGACUAUAGAAUUUUAAAGCCUGUCUUUGUUGUGUGUAACCUUCACAGACAGACAACAUAAUAAACGAGAUCUUGUGCUGGGGGCUUAUUCUGAAGUCCAAGUUUGCAUAGGUAUUCAGGAUGGAAAUCAACACAUCUUUGAGGAUUUAUGCAUUAGAGAUGACAAAACAUCAUCAAGUAGACUAGUUAAUCCUAAUGUCAGUGAUGCCAGAGUAAGAUGCAUUUCUACCUGAAAGCAGGGCAUGCAGUACCAUGAUUUAAAUAUAAGCUUUGUCCUGUAUUCUUUGCCCCUAUCAUGGCAUUUCUGCACAAAGCAUAGUUUCUUGGGAGUGAAGCACUGGGUCCUUAGUGUUUAGGGGUGGCUGACGACGUCAGCUUUGCCAGAAUCAGGAAACAAUAUCACCCUUCACAAAGUCACAGUUACAGGUGUCACUGUUAAUUCCAUGGUUUUCCCAUACAAUGGCACCAUCGUUGGUUGGAAACAAUUCAGAGUAACUUCAGUGAAACUUGAUUAAAAAAAAAAAAAAGAGGUGUUCAGGAGACAGAUCAAAUAGUCAACAAACUUUCUUGAACUUUGCUUGGCUAUUUCCUGUGAUGUUUCUCUUGUUUCAUGUGCUCAGACGGUGCUGCUGACAGUGUUUGCUAUCAAUUUCUACAGAGUGGGAGUAUCCAGACCAUUACUGUGCAUAAGCUCCAGAACUUUUGACAGCUUUAGUUUUCUUUCCUGAAAAGUGAUUUAUCUGUAGACUGGGAGGGAAGCACUGGGCAUGCAAGCUGGUGAGAAACACAUAUUGCUAGAAGUUGCUGACCAAGAUAAAGAGCAUUUCAUAAGGUACUCAGUGAGUGAAGUCACAAGCCAAAUAUAUACAUACAGAGGUUCAAAGCUAAGGGAACGAGUGACUUUUUGGAGGAGACAGUCAUUUCUACCUUCUUUCUUCCUAUAUAAAUCACUAGGCUCAUCCAGCUUGUCCAUGCUUCAUUGUGAUCAUCUUAGAAAGUGUUUGAGAAGUGAGGAACAUGAGAAAGGGAAUAAUUUUUCUUGUCUUAAGUGAGACUGACACAUGGGUGGCUGAAAGUCUGUAAUGGCUGAAAUAUUUAUCCGUUUGCUGCUCCCAGCUUGGCCAAAGUCAAAUACUCUCUUGGAUUCCUUCCUCUAGAGUUAAUAUUUUCAAAGGAACUGCA